rnacentral:lncRNA from 1 species
UUAGUAUUUCUAUUUCGGUAUUAUCCUCAGUUUCUUCUGAUGAGUUUAUAGGAGAACCCCAAAAUCUACUUGCUAAAGAUGAAGAUCGGUAUGGUGCUGAUCUACACCGAGUUAAAAGUAAUGCAUUUUUGGGUGGUGAAGAAGAAGAAGAAGAAUUAGAACCCACAAAUCCUUCUUUAUUUUCCGUUACAAAAGAACUUCCAAUUUUGGCAGUAUUUGUAACAUUUUCAAUAGUACUACAGCUUUCAGUAGUGCUGGUACUAACUCGGCUUUGUACUCUUUGAGUUGAAGAAUUUACAGUUUCGACUCUUUUUCUCCAACACCAAAAUCGAAAACAGCACAAACACUUUUUCAAAACUGAAAUUAACGACUUGGGUUUGUGUAAUUUGUAACAUUUUCCUUGACUAUUGUUGCAAAAUAGAGUCUUGUGAAUCUUCCACCAACAUGUUUUUUUUCGUUGUUUUUUGGCGGAGUUCGACCGACGUGUUCGUGUUCCUGUUCUAUGUCCGCCGCCGGCAGACUUAGAGGAGCGGCGAACACGAACUUGGCCUAUGCACGUGACUUUAGGGGAAGAUGGUUCUUGAGUUGGUUCAAUAACGGUAACAUUGCUCUUGUUUUUGCGCAUGAACAUAGGACUGGCACGUGACCUUCCUCUGCUUCUACUUCCCACGUUGCUUCUUAGAAAUCUCAUUAAUGGCGGUGGAAAUUUCUCUGUUCUACCUGGACUUGAAAUUGCUUUUGCUGAACCCUUCAUCUUCUUUACUUCUUUCUCUCUCUCUCUCUCUCUCUCUUUUUCUUUAUCUGGUUUUGUUGUGUGUUUGUUGUUUAAGUGUUGGGUUGGGUGGUGAGAUAGAGAAGAUGUGGUUUUGUUCCUUUGCCAUGUUUCUUUCUGGUUUACAGAUUUUACACCAGUUUUUAUAUACUCUGGUUUUAUUCUGGUUUUUUUUCUAAUUUUUUUCCUUCUUUUUUAAGGCAUUUUGUACCAUAAACCAAGUGGGUGGAGCUAAGUUCUUUUUUUAUUAUUUUUUUUUUUUCAAAUACAAUAUUCGGUAUUUGUAUUUAACUCCGAUUAAUUUAGAUUCACAUCGCAUAAGAUCUAUUAAAAGAAAAACAUUUUCAACCCGAAUUUUUUUCAUUCACCAAGUUCAAGCCCGAGUAUUCUGGUUAAGGAAGAAAAAAUCAUAUACAUUCCACCAUAAUUCUAGGUAGAAGACACUAAGUAGUCAUUCUAGAUGACUGCUAUUUCAGAAUUAGCCAAUAUAUUUUAGUUUUUCAGUUCAAUUUUUUAGGACACACUGUUCUAAAAUUAAGAAUUUUACUUCACAUUUUCGGGGCAAAAAAUAGUAACCUUAAGAAUGGCUAUUUUUGUACUUUCUCCCAAUACUUGGUGAUGGUGGAGCUAAAUUCAAUGGAGGGAUAAAAUUGAAUCACUUCCCGGUAAUUAUAUUGAGCAAAUAGGGUAAAAUAAUUAUGUAAUAAUUUUAAAAUAGACAACAACAACAAUAACUCAGUAUAAUUUCAUUAGUGGGAUCUGGGGAGGAUAGUGUGUACGCAGAUCUUACCCCCUAUCCUGGGGUAGAGAGGCUGUUUCCAAUAGACUCCCGGCAUCCUUCCCUCCAAGAACUCCUCAUCUUUGUUUUUUGGGUGAUUCGAACUCACAACCUCUGAAUCUAUUUGAAACAUAAGAAGCUUUGCAUGUGAUUAUAAAGGUAACUAAAAACUUAUUUAGGUCACAAGUUAAAAUUUUAAGUGUGGUAUUCUAACAAUUUUUCUUAUUCUCUUAAUAGAAAUCCUAAUUUCGCUACUUUAUUGUGAAAUAUAUUAGUAUUGAACAGCCCAGAAAGUCCUUAUGAUUACAGAAAUAAAUGGACCCGUCAUUUUGUUCGUACCUACUUACCUUAGGUUUCAACUGAAUAAUCAGAGCUUAAUUAAGUCAUAUUUGCAUCGGAUAAAAUCACUUGGAGUUAAGAGGAAAAAGCUUCUCUAUCAAGAGUUCUCACUUUGGUACUAGAAUUCAAGAUUUUGAUUAAUGGCAAUAGGAUUUGGGCAAGUUAUACAUGUAGCCGAUUGGCCAAAAAUAAUUACAUUUGAUAGUCAAAUAUAAAAUAAACAUACACUAAUUAUAUAUAUAUAUAUAUAUAUAUAUNNNNNNNNNNNNNNNNNNNNNNNNNNNNNNNNNNNNNNNNNNNNNNNNNNNNNNNNNNNNNNNNNNNNNNNNNNNNNNNNNNNNNNNNNNNNNNNNNNNNNNNNNNNNNNNNNNNNNNNNNNNNNNNNNNNNNNNNNNNNNNNNNNNNNNNNNNNNNNNNNNNNNNNNNNNNNNNNNNNNNNNNNNNNNNNNNNNNNNNNNNNNNNNNNNNNNNNNNNNNNNNNNNNNNNNNNNNNNNNNNNNNNNNNNNNNNNNNNNNNNNNNNNNNNNNNNNNNNNNNNNNNNNNNNNNNNNNNNNNNNNNNNNNNNNNNNNNNNNNNNNNNNNNNNNNNNNNNNNNNNNNNNNNNNNNNNNNNNNNNNNNNNNNNNNNNNNNNNNNNNNNNNNNNNNNNNNNNNNNNNNNNNNNNNNNNNNNNNNNNNNNNNNNNNNNNNNNNNNNNNNNNNNNNNNNNNNNNNNNNNNNNNNNNNNNNNNNNNNNNNNNNNNNNNNNNNNNNNNNNNNNNNNNNNNNNNNNNNNNNNNNNNNNNNNNNNNNNNNNNNNNNNNNNNNNNNNNNNNNNNNNNNNNNNNNNNNNNNNNNNNNNNNNNNNNNNNNNNNNNNNNNNNNNNNNNNNNNNNNNNNNNNNNNNNNNNNNNNNNNNNNNNNNNNNNNNNNNNNNNNNNNNNNNNNNNNNNNNNNNNNNNNNNNNNNNNNNNNNNNNNNNNNNNNNNNNNNNNNNNNNNNNNNNNNNNNNAUAAAAUCAUAAUUUACUUUAAAUAUUCAUCAAACAAGUCUUUCAAUCUUUGACCAGUAUUUCAAAUAAUGAAGUUCAAUAUUUUCAGAUACAAUUUUAGUAUUUACAAAAACUAUAAGUAUUAUGGUCAAUCUGCCUGUAAAAAUACACUGAAUAUAUUGUUAUUGUAAGUAUUUAUGAUCAAACGAGAAAAAAAUACAAUAAUUUUUGAGUAUUUUUUGUGGUAUGUGAUUCUCUAGACCAAGUAGUUAUUAUUUAACAAAAGUUUCUUUUUAUAAUUUUUUAACCUUUUGGUAUCUGAAAGUGUACUAAUACAAUUAAUCCAAAUUCGUGUUGGAUAGAUUCACUAAUAGAAUGAAGCGUUUCUACGAUAUUUCUUUUUAAAGCUCAAACUCGUAAUAUCAAGUUAAAAGUAGCGGUAUCUCAAUCAUCUCACGAUACACUUUGUAUUAUUAAACAAAAGUUUGCAUUAAAGAGAAUGAUUUUAGCUGAGUAAUACACUUUUCAAUGUAAUUGCCAAUCAUAUCUUUGAUAGUGUAAUACUCGUGCCUUUGUCUAAUACACAAGUAAAUGUGCCAUCAUUUAAAUACCUAAUUAUAUAUUCACCAAACUCAUACCAUAAGUCUAAUUCAACCAAUUGCAAAUAGAGAACCAUUAUCCAACCAACUUUCUUAAUUCUCGUCGUUUUCAUAUAACUAUAAGUAACGACUUGAUAUUGAAUUGAAACAACUUCCUCUCAUUAAUUUCCUUUUCGUUAAAGGAAGUUGGUUUUUGGUCCAGUUCUGCAAUUAAACUACUUUAAGCAACCCGAAUUAAUAUAUUAUUUGACAUUCAAUGCAAUCUAGCCCACAUACUUUGACAAUUAAGGUAAUAAAAAUUAGUACAUCUUAUUAAAUCACAAUGAUCCUAGAGAUCUUGGGUAGUUGUUCUUUUCAUUUAUAUUUUUCCUUAUUUUCUCUUGGGGUGUAACUAUUGUUUUGAUUAAAGACAUGAAUUGACACUCCAACUUCCACACUAUUUGAAAAUUCCGGGAAACGUAAAAAAAAAUAGUAUUUAAAAAUUAGAAUUGUGUUUAGAUAUGAAUACAAUUUGGAAAUGUUUUUGAAUUUUCGUGAGUAAUUUAAAGUGAAAAUUUUAAAAAAUGACUUUUUGAAGUUUUUCAAAUUUUCGAAAAUUCUAAAAUUCAACUUCAAGUGAAAUUUGAAUCAUGGACAAACACUAAUUUUGAAAAGAAAAACAGUGAUUUUUUUUCAAAGAAAGGUGAAAAAAAUUCUUAUGGCCAAACGGGCCCUAGGUACUGUAAGGGGUCGUUUUGUAUGCAGACCAAAUUAUCUCGAGAUUAUAGUCCUAGUUUUAUAAUUCUUUAACCAACUUAUCCCACUUGAAAAGUGGGAUAAUAUAAUUCCAAGUUUGAUUAGACGAGGUGGGAUAUCCAGGAUUAAGUCUCGGAUUAAACUUAUACUAUGUUUGAUUGACGUCAACCAAACACAAUAUAAAUAUAAUCUCACACAUGAUUAAUUUAUACCGUCAACCAAACACAUUAUAAAUAUAAUUUCACACUUAAUCUCACCUUAUCAUACAUUAUCCCGCGUGCCAAAAAAAAAAAUUGAUCUGCCUAAACUUAAUAGUUAAAAGUUAACACUGCUAAUAAAAAGUAAAAGAUGCCCAAAUUCUCAACGAAUUACUUAGCAGAAAUAUAAAAAGGGAAAUUCUCAAAUUUACCACCGUAGGUUGGAGACCAACUUCUCUAAAGGCACAUGCAAGUCAGUACUUCUAUAUACAUAAAAUGUCAGUAGAAUAAUUUAGCACUAUACAAGAAAACAGAAAGUCAACUAAGAUUUCAGAAAUCCUUGUGGCACUUAUGAAAAUGCUUGAACCCAAGAGGACAAGAAAAGAGGGUAACAAGUCAAUCAAAGAAUCAUCCAAUGAAAAGAUGUUAAAUAGCUCUAGACACUAGGAAAGCAAUCAAUUCAGAAUAUGACCUAUAAUAAUAUACAAUAUUUUCAGUAGGAUGGAAGAGGAGGGCGUAACCAAUAAAGUUGUUAUGUAAUCACGAGGUCACAAGGUCAAAUCUUGCAAAUACCCUCUUGCAAAAAAGCAAGGUAAAAUUGUGAACAAUAGACCCUUAUAAUUCGGUCUUUCCCUAGGUUCCGCGUAUAAUAGGAUCUUAGUACACCAUGCGACCCGGAAAUUACGGGUUCGAGUCGUAGAAAUAGCCUCUUGCAAACAACCUCUUGGAAGGAAAGUCUUGGUGUAACUGAUAAAACUGUUGUCAUAUGACCAAGAGGACCAGGAGGUCGCGAGUUCGAGUAGUGGAGACAUCUUUCAAAAAUGUAAGGUAAAACUGUAUACAAUAAACCCUUGUGAUCCGACCUUUCCCCAAACCCCGCGUAUAGCAGGAGCUUAAUACACCAUGUGACCAGGAGAUCACGGGUUCGAGCCGUAAAAAUAGUCUUUUACAAAAAUGCAAAAUAAGACAGCUUACAAUAGAUCAUUGUGAUUCGACACUUCUGCGGACCUCUCGCAUAGUGAAAACUUUGUGCUGCGAGCUGCCUUUUUUUAUACGGAAAAGGGCCAUAUUGAUCCCUGUACUCUUUAAAAAUAGUUAUAUUUGUCCUUCGUUAUACUUUUUGAUAUAUUUAUCCUUACCAUUAUACUUUAGGAUCAUAUUUGUCCCUGUACUCUUCAAAGAGGGUUACAUUUGUCCUUCGUCAUACUUUUUAACAUAUUUAUCCUUACACUUAUACUUUAGGAUCAUAUUUGUCCUUCAUCCAUUAAAUCCUCAUGUCCCACCUUUCUUUUCCUACAUGGUGCCUAUGUGGAUUUCUUUUUCCUCCAAUUUAAAUAUGGUCAACUAUUUAAGAUAAUUUAAUUAACUAUUAACCAUAAACCAUAAACCAUAAUUUGGUUGUCUGUACUUAUUUGUGUCUUUGGGCAGCCAAUAUAUAAAAUAUAGUGGCUUCAUUCUGAUAAUUCACAUUACUCUAAUAUUAUUCGUCAUUGUAGGUUUAUGUUAAACCAGGUCGAAGAUAAGGGGUGGAGAUAGAGUAUUAGGUAUGAUUUGAAUGAACUCUAUAGCUUUUGUUUAUAUUUGUGUUCUAUUAGGAAAUACAUUAAAUAUGUAUAAAUAUUUAAUUACGAACUUAAUAACUAAAAUGAGCUAUGAGCAAGAUCAGAACCUAUAAACUUUAAAUCAUGACUCUGCCAUCCAAAAAGUUGAAUUAUUUAGAUAUACUUUUUUAAAUAUGUAAUUUUAUUUUAUUUUUUAAAAACAUGAAAAUUAUAUACCCAAAUCACAAAAAAAACUAGAUGUUUUGACCCUUGUAAUCGAAUUCUUUCAUAUAAAAUGAGAGGAGGGAGCAAUAUUUUCUUUUCGAGAAAAAAUAUGUUUGAGGAAACAAUCCUAGACAAUAUUAGGCUUCUGGCAGUGCUCUAUUUUAAGCACGGACCUUUGUCAUUAAUUCCAUUGUUGUGCAACUUCUCGUAAUUUAAUUUGGUUACUGCAAUAAUUGUAAGUUGUAUCAGAUUAGUGAUUUUGAGUUCAAAGUUCUUGUUUGCCAAUAUGUUGCCGCUGCUAUCCGAAAAAUAUGGAGCUGAAAAAGAACAUUAUCUUAAAUAGGUGACCAUAUUUAAAUUGGAUGGGCGGAUUAAAUUAUCUUAAAUAGUUGACCAUAUUUAAAUUGGAGGAAAAAGAAAUCCACAUAGGCACCAUGUAGGAAAAGAAAGGUGGGAUAUGAGAAUUUAAUGGACGAGGGACAAAUAUGAUCCUAAAGUAUAAGUGUAAGAAUAAAUAUAUCAAAAAGUAUGAUGAAGGACAAAUGUAACCCUCUUUGAAGAGUACAAGGACAAAUAUGAUCCUAAAAUAUAAUGGUAAGGAUAAAUAUAUCAAAAAAAUAUAACGAUGGACAAAUAUAACCAUUUUUAAAGAGUACAAGAAUAAAUAUGACCCUUUUCCGUUUUUUAUAUUUCAAUAUUAGGAUGAAAAAACCUCAAAAACAGUGCUUACACAGUUCCACUACAGUAAUACUCAUAGAAAUAUACAUCUUUUCAAAGUUUUUUCCUUUCCCUUUUUUGUCCCCCCUCUAUGAUGUUACAAAGAUGGCCCACAGAUUUUAGAAACUAAAGUAAACAGAUGAUUGAACUAUCAAUAAAUCUUUUUCACUUGGUACAAGCCAACAGUUUAUGUUUGUGAACCAAUCAUAUGUUACUUUAAUACUUUAGGUUCAUUGAUCUUUUCAUCCCAACUAUUGAUUUUCUUGAUUCAGGUCCUAUGUUCUUCUCUUGAUCCCCACCACCACUGAUCUCAUCUUCCAUUUUGCCAUCAGUCUCUUCAUCUGGAAAAACAUGUCAAGAAUAAUAAGAAACAGAAAUCAUUAACAAAACUUUUAUGAGCAGGAAAACAAAAUUUUAAGGGAAGACGACAUUGUAUAGCCGCUCUCAAAAUAAUAGCGAAAAUGUGUGUGUGUAUAUAUAUAUAUGUGUGUGUGUGUGUGUUAUAUACAAAAAAUAUACAAAUUUUAUAUACUUUUGCGACUACCAGAUAUAAAUAGUUUUGGUCGGGGGCUAAAAGUGAUCUUUGCCCAAAUUUUGAAAGGGAAAAAAGUGAUUCUUGUAUAUUGUUGCUAAGCCAAAGCAUAGAAUUUUUUGUUCCUUGCUUUUCCGCUUUAGGGUUGAGAGUCGACCUCAACUAAUUUGAGAUUGAGACAUAGUUGUCGGUAUUGUUGUUAUCUCUACAUUUGAGGAAGGAGGAUUGCAUCUAUGUUUUAAUGGUGACACAUCCAAGAAAACUAUUUGAUAGCAUUAAUCAGAAGGGAUAUUUAGAAGGGAUAUUUAACUGAAUUAAAGUUAUCUUCUUGGAAUGGUAAGAGUGAAACUGGACAAAAAACGCCUUCUUAAUUUUCUAAAAUGACAAAUUUAUUGGAAUAUUUUUUCUUUUGGAGGUAGAAAGGGUCGGAAGGAAUAGUAUUCAUCUAGAUUUAAGAUGGGGCACUUCUUAAUGCUUAAUAGACUUAGGCACGGCGAGAAGUAGUGAUACCUGAAGCACUACCUAGAGAAAAUUCAGUAAGACGCCGGACACAAUCCUUGAGCGCCUGGAGCUCAGCUUCUUUCUCAUGGAGUUUGGAAUGAGUUUGGUGCAGCUCAGAUGCCAGCUCCACAAUCUGGCUUUCUUGUUGUUCAAUUAGUAAAUGACACAGCUUUUGAUCCAGUUCCGAUGGCAAUACUCCACUGAAUUGAUAAGUUUCCGCAUUGUGGUCAUUGGCUAAGUUAAAGUUUUUCUCCAGAAAUUCAUCCUGUACAGCAAAAAUCAACAGUUACAAAUGAAAAUUAGGUAAUAAAGCGGAAAUAGGUGCCUUAAGUUGGCAGGGAGUGUAUUGUCUUUAAUCUGUUGUCGCCAUUUAUCUGAACUCACCAAAAACUCAAAAGGACUACACACGAAUACUCCUAAUGAUAUAGGAAACGUACCAGCAUUGCCAUAUACAGUUGCAAUUAAAUGCAAAUAAGAUAUGUAGGCCAUUAUACGAAUGAUAAAUCAACUUUAGAUGUGUGACAGAAAAAAUCCCAUUUGAUUUGCUGCAGUAGUUGCAUGGAUUAAUCAUAGGCCAUGAGGGGAUGUCCAACUAUUUCUAGGUAGAAAAUGGAUGUAUUAGUUUUGUCAUUUAAGUCCAAACAACCUAACCUAAGAAUAAUUUCUAAUUAUUGUUUGCGCCUAUGUGACUCUAUUUUAUUAAAAUUCAUAUCUCCUCUUAACAAGAAUAAGAUAAUUAAUUGAAUGUUCAUUUGGAUUAACCAAUUGCAAAGUUGGACCAGGGAAAAUGAUAACUUGGCACCAGUACCAUAUAAAAUUGAUCAUAGAAAAUAAUAGUAAACUCAUCUAUUGUUACACAUAUAGGUUAUAGCAGUAGGAAUUUCCAAUGACACCUCCUUGAAAAUGGUUUCUAAAAAGGAUAGAUAUUAACAAUGAGACUAAGGCCUAACUGUUUGCACUUGAUGGAGGUUUGAAUCAAAAUAGUUCAGACCUCAGACCAUUUAGUGCACUUUGGUUUUUCUUUAAGAUUUAACCACUUAAUAAGUCUAAAUGACUCAGAUCUUUCGAACAGAGUCUUAAUAUUAUUAAGAGCCUAUCCAAAGAUUUUUGCAAAUGAUUUUUCACCACCGCUCUGUCUACAACCACCACUAUCAGCCACCUCCACCACCGCUGCAACUGCCAACGGUGUUGCCAACUACCAACCACCAAGACCAGUCACUGUCACAUCAAUUAUCUCCACCAUUAAUACUAUCUCCCCUACCAACCACCACAACACCACCAACAUUGCCAACCACUACCACCAACCACCUCCCCCAUUGCACAACCAUUGCCAGUUUGCCACUACACUGCCACUGACCAGCCACCAACUUACAACCUAAUAUUUUGUGGAUAUAAAAUUUAAAUUAUUUUAUUUGAAUUUUAUAUUUAGGAGUAAUAAUUUUUAAUAAUAAAUAAAUUAUAAACAUUAUGAUGUUGAGAAAACAAACAGUUCUAAUCAUUCAGUAAUCAAAUCUAAAGACAAAAUCUUAAUAUUCAAAUGUGAAUUUAGAUUCAGACAUCUGAAUGUUUUACUUAAUCUUAAAAAAAGCAAACGGCUCAUAAGUUACUUGAUAAGUACAAAAUAUGGAGUACUCCUUUUGUAUCAGUUUAUCUGCCCCUAUAACUAUUUGGUGAGUCAAAAUUACUCCCUUUGACUAUGAUUUUUCAAACAUUUUUAAAAAAAAUAUGGAAAUGAAAUGUGACUUAGAAUAAUUUCUGAAUAUGACAAAUUAUAUUCAAGAAAUUAAAGAAUAGCUGGCCUAUUUCACACCGAAAAUUAGACAUUUCAACCAUCUUACCCCAAACUCCAUCACUCUUUCUGGAUUGAGGGAGUAGUGUCCUUUUGCAAAUAACAAUUUAAAUCACUUACAUCCAGAUGGAGCUUCAAAGAUUUUUAGUAAAAUUUGCUUCGAAUGGACCCAACGAAAAUGUACUCAUUCACAAAUAUAGGUAGAAAAUAUUAAAACGGUUGAAAACUACGAAAUUGUAGAUUGAAAACACAUAGAGAGGUUGAGUGGAGAGGACAAGAAGGAAACACUUAUUUACUCUCCCGACAACGAAGAAAGAACAACAAAUCAAUAUGGAUUGAGAAAAUACGAAGGUUAGACAAGACCAUGUAGAGGAAAUUUAUUUCACAUUGAACACACCUUACAAGGAUCUCUUCCUCCACCCAAAUCUGUACCUUCAGUAGCACACCAUGGAAGCUUUUGUAAUUCAGACUCAAGCUCUGCUUCCAGCUGAUCCAUUUCCAUAACCUCAGGUUGCGGCUCUUCUGUAACGACACUGCUUGCACAUUCACCUUCCUCAGCCACCUGGUGAUCUACUGCUCUAAAAAUAUUCCUGUUUUCGGUGCCACUCUCCGGAAAAGCACGUAUCGUGCAUUCUCCAUCAUUCUUUUCAUUUGUUUCAGCUUUAUUUUUCGAAGCACGCAGGUCAUGUGCAACUUUUCUCCUAGAAAGUUCGGCUUUUAAUUCUUCUACAGCUUUUGCAGUUUCAUUCAUGGUAGAAUUGAGCCUAUUGAUCUCAGAUUUCCCAGCUGACAUCAUGCACACCAUUCCAAUUCCUAGUCCGUAACCGAAAAAGGAAUUACCUGGAAACAUAAAAACAUAUUAAGCAAAGGAAUUAGGUUCGGCUACUUGGGGCAACUUAAUAUUAGAGAAGACUAUUCACACAAACAAGACUAUCAAAAUAACAGGCACAAAUGGCAAAUUAGAAAUAAACAGGUAGAACAAAAUAUUCAGUCACAUCUUCGAGUUCGACCAAUAUGAUAGGAGUUUGGUCGAGCCAUGAGACGACACCAACCAACUAGAGAAAGUAAAUAUGAUAGGAGUUUGGUCGAGCCAUGUGACGACACCAACCAACUAGAGAAAGUAAACACAGUGACAGAAGACAGUAUACCCAACUAGCAAAACAGCAUCAGCAUUGGGAGCAUUGAUCCAAAUUUUAUCUCAAAGAUUGAUGAUGUCCUCAAAUAGCAUGACUAGAUCAGACAGGUUAAGCUAUACAAUGCACCAAAUCAGAAAUAGAAAUUAAUCAUGAAAAAUUGGGAAUGAACAAGCAACUUAUAGCAUAGAGUUAUUGUUGAGGGACUAAAUAAAAUAAGAACCAAUAAUAUAGAGUUUUUUUAACCCAUAUUAUAGGCAAAAGUUAAAAUAAAAGGUUAUAUGAAAAUUUGUAACUAAUUUGAUCAAUACAAGUUGAAACAUUGCAAUGCUUGUAGCGAUAUGGUUUUGCUCACAAUAUGAAAGCGCUAAAAUUUUCGGAAUUUUUAACUUAUUGAGAUCCGGUAUCUUACUGAUUAUCUCCACAAUCAGGUUAAAAAUUGUUUUGACUCUUUGUUUUAGCAGCAGUUGAUCAGAUACAAGCGGAGCCAUUUGACCACGAAAAAGGUGUUCCAUUAAUGUAGCAAAAUGCAGAUUAUCAUCAUCUCAACUGCUGGUACUACUGGUCAACCUCACUACAGAAGAGGACCUCAAAAACCCCUUCUCGACUCAUUCAAGAAAAAGAAAGACAGAGUAGAUCAAUAUUGGAAAGCAGACCACAUAGCUAACGAAUAUGAGCUAGGCAGUGACCAGUGCAGAUACUCCGAUGUCCCUUUAUUUGAAGAAUUUAAUACAUUCCGAACAUGGGGAAGACAUUACCACGAUCUAGUAGAGUUAUGCUAAACAAUGUACAAAAGUAACUCUGCCCUCUACAAUUUUAUAACUUCUUUGACAGAUUUCUGCCCAAAGGAAAUGAUCCCAUUACCUUGUACUAGUGGGAAAUAGCUAGGUGGAUUUAGUCAAGGUACGCACAAGCUGCCCCAAUCAUAAAAACAAUGAUACCAUUACUUGGAAUUACCAAGUUCUAUGCAUCAAACUCCAAUAUUCUCUUAAGCAGACUUUGAACAUAAGAGGAUUUGACCGUGAUGAUUCCAAAUUGAGUUGUUCUACUUACACUAGAUAACUGGUAAGGUAAAGAGUUAAGACAAAUAUGAACCAGUGCAUUAUAACUUGUGAGCCAUUGGUAUUUCUAUGAACAAGGAAGCCAAAGUAAUGGAUACUACAACUACAACAACAACAAUAAAUAACCCAGUAUAAUCCCACAAGUGGUGUCCGGGGAGGGUAGUGUGUACGCAGACCUUAUUCUUACUUAGAAAGUAGAGAAGAUGUUUCCGAUAUACAAAGUAAUGGAUUCUAGUUAACUAAAAACGAGAAAAUGUAAUGGACAAUAGAAAAUCUAAACACAAUCCUACUAAAGCAUGAUUGCAGAAAACACCACCUAUUGAUCCUAACCCAAAAUAAAAGACAAAUUUUUAAUGUAAAGAAGAUGUUUUUAGGACAAUACAUACCUUUGGAAGCACAAGAAUCACAUUUCCCUGAAGGAACCUUAUUAGUUCUCCUCUUCUUUAAACAAACAUAAAAUCUCUUCCCAUUCCCAUUUCCACUCUUCCUCUUAUCCAAUCUAAACAAUUCCUUUUCACCACCCCUUACAUUUCCACAUUUUUUUCCUAACUUCCCACCAUUAUUUCUCUUACACUCCAUUGCAUUCCCAUUGCUCUUUCUAGAACCUUCCACAUUUUUCUUCCUCAAAUUCCUAGACCCCAAUUCAGAACCAGAAGCACUAGAAAACCUAAAAAUUGAUCCAUCAGAAAACCCCUCACUGUGUUCUUGAAUGCUGCAGCCAAGAUUACAUGCAAAGCUUGAAUCUUUAUGCUGAAAAGAGGCCUUAAACCCUUCUUCUGGGUCAUUGGGUUGAUCACAUUUACUGUUAAUUUCAUGAUUACUCGUAAAGCUUGAAUCUUUAUCACAAUUUAUGUUAGUUUCAGUGAAACCAGAAGUGGGUUCAGUAGCAUUUUGGUUAAAGAUUUUCUUGGCUAGAAAACCAGAUCCUGCUGCUGCUGCAACUACCAAAGCUGGCCACAUUGAGUGAUUUUUAUUUCAAGAUUCUAACUUAGGGUUUAAAAUUUGAACGAGAUCCCAUUCAAAAAUUGCUAAUUUGCUAGGCAGUAAAUGUUGUUGCACUGACAAUUUCUAUGAAAGUGACAAGCUUUGAAUAUUGUGUGUGCAAUGUGGGGAGAGUGAGUCAGAGAGAAAAGAGAACUUUUCGGCUCGGUGUUAAUACGUGUCUUUUCAUCUAUAAGUUUGUUCACGUGCUUCCCGCUUUUUGAUAAAUUUCAAUUUUGUGUUUGGGUGUUUCUCUCCCCUUUGUUGGUCUUUUAGAAGCAGGGGCUUAGAGAUAUUGGGCCAAUUUAUGGUACGAUAACCUAACCCAGUAAAUGGCAUUAAAAAGCACAACUUAUUCUUACGGAUAUUUGCAUCUAUACCCGCUUUUUAGGUUACAUUUUAACUUGUGUUCGCUUUGCAAAAAAAUUACAAACGUACCCAUUUUUUCGCGUAACUUCAGCAUACGGGACUGAAGUAGCAAAGACAAUCACGCAAAAUUUCAGCAUUCUAGUAGACCGACUUGAAGUAGCAAGUGUGUUGAACCAAGUGUAGGGAAAGGGCACGGUUAGCCACUAAUAACAUAUGUAUUUACUUUUAAGCCACUAUUUAAAAUGUUUUUAGUCUUUAGCCACUGCUUUAAUAAACUUUAACUAUCCGGACGAAAAUACCCUUCUGUUCAUGUCAUUAACUUUUGAACUUAACUUCAGGACUACAUGUCCUUAACUUUUGAACUUGUAACUCUAAGUUCAGGACUUCAGGACUACAUGUCCUUAACUUUUAAACUUGUAACUUAGUUCAGGACUAAGUAUCCUUAACUUUUGAACUUCGAACUCAAACUUCAGGACCAAGUAUCCUUAACUUUUGUACUUGUAAGUCAAAGUUAAGGACCUAUUAUCCUUAACUUUUGAUCUUGUAACUGUAAGUUAAGGACUGCAUGUCCUUAACUUUUGUACUUGUUAGUCUAAGUUCAAGACAAAGUGUCCUUAACUUUUGAACUUGUAAGUCUAAGUUCAGGAGCUAUUGUCCUUAACUUUUGAACUUCGGACUCAAACUUCAAGACCAAGUGUCCUUAACUUUUGAACUUGUAACUGUAAGUUAAGGACUGUCUGUCCUUAACUUUUGAACUUGUAAGUGUAAGUUAAGAACUACCUUUCCUUAACUUUUGAACUUGUAAUUCUAAGUUCAGGACUACACAUCCUUAACUUUUGAACUUAUAUGUAAGAUUAUCAUGUUCAAGAUUCCUGGUAUGAAUUAAAGUUUAUGCUUACAUGUGGUAUCAAGAGCCUUGAUUGUUUGAACCGUUAAUCUUUGUUUACUCGUAUAGUAUGAACGAAAUCACUGUGGCUUUGAUUGAAAAAAAAUUCUCUUCAUCAAAUCUGCAAGAACAUUAAUAUUCAUGUUUUCUCUUUUCUCCAAAUUUAGAGCCUUUGUCUGUGUCAUAUUAUUUAUAUUAGUUGAUGUUGUUGAUGAUACAACGAAAGAAUAGUAGCUACUAAAAAAUUAAAAUAAUAAUUUUAGAGCUUAUUUCUCCCAAACUGUUUUGACAUAAUAGGGACGCUUUAGCCUGCGUACAACGUAAGUAUGUAAUAGGUUUGGGAAGAAAAGCAAUGGAAGAAAGGGUAAAAAUGUCUUCUCAUAUUAAUUUUAAUAGAGUAGUGGCUAUUUUUGCUCAACAUUAGAAUUAUUGGAUAAACAAUAAAUACCACCUUAAAUAGUGGCUACCCCACGCCAUUUCUACCCAAGUGUGCUGAAGUUUUUGCUUGUAAUUGCUGAACUUAAGCAUAGUAGCUGAAAUUUUGUUCUCUAUUUGCUGAAGUUUUUGUUUGUAAUUGUUGAACUUAAGCAUGUAGCUGAAGUUUUGUUCUCUAUUUGCUGANNNNNNNNNNNNNNNNNNNNNNNNNCAUUAGUUUUGUCAAUAAACUUUUUCAAAAACUUCAACAGAAGAUGUUGAAGUUAUUUAGUUCAUUUAUAUAAACUUCAGCACUAAAUAAGCUGAAGUUUUUUUGUCCUGGAUAAGUUUUUUCAAAAAUUUCAGCAGAAGAUGCUGAAGUUAUUUAGUUCAUUUCUAAAAACUUCAGCACUAAAAGCUGAAGUUUUGAAGAACCAAUAUCCAUCUUAAAAGCACAAAUUGUAUUGAUAUGGACAAGUGUAACAUUAACCAGUUUUUACAUCAAGAAAUUUUUUAGUAGCCAGCGAGAUGUGAGGAACAAUCAAGAAUUCAGCUUUUGGAAUCAAAAUUAACCAACAUACAGAGGAAUCAUGUCAUUUAAUGUAACGAUCCGACUGGUCGUUUUGAGCAAUUGCACCUGGUUCAGCAGUUUGAGGUCAAGAGCAACUUCACAUUAUGUAUAUCGACUUGUAUGCAUGGUUGGAUUCAGAUUUCGAAUGAAUCAGAGUCAAAUUGAAAACAAGGAAUAUAGUUCUGGAAGCUUAAGCAGAGAGAAUUUGACUGGAAUUUGACUUUUGAGUAAAUGACUUCGGAAUGAGUUUUAGAUGAUGUCAGUAGCUUCGUAUGGUGAUUUUGGACUUUGACUUGUGUUCGGAUUUGGAUUUGUAGGCUCGUAGGGUAAUUUGAGGCAUGUUGGUGAAAGUUGGAAAAGUUAAAGUUUGGAAAAUGAAGAGGUUUGACCUAUAGUUGACUUUUAUGUUAUCGAGGUAGGAAUGCGAUUCCGAAAGUUGAAACAUCUUCAUUAUGUAAUUUGGGCCUCGCCUGCAAAAUUUGGUGUCAUUUGGAGUUGAUUUGAUUUGGUUCGGACGCUUGGUUGCAAUUCUAGAGAUUCUUAAAGUUCAUAGUAAUUUUCAUGCAUUUGGGCAUCUGAUUCUUGGUCUUAGAGAUGUUUUAAGUGAUUUGGAAGUGGGACUAAGUUCGUAUAAUGUUAUGGGAUGUGUUGGUACAUUUGGUUGAGGUUCCGGCGGCCUCAGAUGAGUUUCGAGAUGAGUUUUGAGCGAGUUCGAACAUUUCGGCACUCGGAAGUUGUUACGGAUUGUGUGAGGGGGGGGGGAGCAUGGACAGUGGUAAAUCAUCACCCCAGAGCCAAAAGGACUACUGUCAGCGGUGAUAUUUUGCUGCAACAAUGGAAUUUUUGCGGUAGCGGAAAAUGGUCCGCGGUGAAGAAGAAUCCGCAGGUUCACUGGUCUGACUUCGGAAGUCUAUAUCUUUUGAUCUAUAAGGAAUUUUGAGAUGAUUCAAAAAUAAAAGUUGUAACUCUUCGUGUCUAGUUUCCAAAAGGUUAAGGAAAUCACAAUUUGGACAUCAGUAGAGAAAGUUAUGUCCAAAAUACUAAAGUAUGUCACCUCAUUCAACAUUCUCUGCAGUAGCGGUGGAUUUACCGCGGUCAGCGGUGGUUUUUUGCGGUCAGCAGUGAUGGAAAUCUGUGAGGUUUACUAUAAAUACAAGUUUUAGGGUUUUAUUUCAUAUUUUGUCCUAGAGAACUCGAAUUUUGGCAAUAUUUCGAAGGUUUUUCAAGAAAUUCAUCGGGGUAAGUGAUUCUAUCUCGGAUUUGGCUAAAAUAUAUGAAUCUAUCAUUGAAUUCAUCGUUUUAUUCGUGAUUUGGGAUGGAAUUUGGGAAAAAUUGUGAAAUCUUUCAAAAAUGUAAAAUGAUGAUUUGAAGGACCAAAUGGUAUCGAAAUUGGAUAAUUUUUGUAUGGGUGAACUCGUAUCAGAAUGUGUAUUCAGUUUUUGUAAAUUUUGUUGGGUUCUGAGGUGCAGGCCUGGGGAGUUGACUUUUGUUGACUUGUUGCAAAUUAUAUAAGAAUCAUAGUUUGAUUAAUUGAAAUUGUUUUCUCUUGCAUUAUUAGAUAUAUUCAAGUCAUUUUUUGGCUAGAUUGAGCCGAUCGUUGAUGAAUUGGUAAAGGAAAAGCUAAAUUGAGUAUUGAAUUAGACAGAUUGAGGUACGUAUCUUGUCUAACCUUGUGUGGGGGACUUCCCCUUAGUAUUUGAGUCUUCUAUGCUAAUUGUAGUCCGUGCAUGCGAGGUGACGAGUGUGUGCUCAGACUUAUUUGUGGGAAAUUUGCCUCUAGGGUUCUUAGGUCCUUAUAUUCAUUAUGUGGGAAGUAUCCCGUUAUGGUUUGGUUUCCUAAUUGCUUAAAUUAUCUCUAUAUGCUCCAUAUGAUGUUAUUAGUUUUCCUCUAAUUCGUACGUAUUACUUGACCCUUAAUUGUCUUAAUUGAAGUGAUUGCCUUCCUUAUUGUUUUGAUACUUCUUAAUUGUGAGUUUCCUUUAUGACUUCGUGUAAACAUGCUACAUGUCCAAUUAUUGUGGUUAUCAGUGUAGUUAUCACGUGCUUAUUAUGUCUGGUUGUUUUGUUGAGGUUAGCGUGCUUCUUGGUUUUUCCGUGAUCCUUAUUAUGUACUAUUCUUGUUUAAAUUGAUGAUUAUUCAUAUCGAACAAGACUUAUGACAUUCUCUUGAUAAUUGUCCAUUGUUGAGUAUUGAAUCGAGUUGAGAUCUAUAUUGCGAAGCUAACUGUUGAAACAUGAUUGGUUAUUGUUGAUUCCCUUGCCGGAAAGUUAUUGGUUUUAUUGUUGAUUCCCUUGCUGGGAUAUUAUUGUUUCUAUUGUUGAUUCUCUUGCCGGGAUGUUAUUAUUUCUAUUGUUGAUUCCCUUGCCAGAAUAUUAUUAUUUCUAUUAUUAACUCCUUUGUCGGGAUAUUAUUGUUCAUAUUAUUGACUUCCUUGUCGUGAUGUUAUUGUUUCUAUUGUUUGGGUGAGAAAGAGUAUAAAACACGAAGGGUGAUGUCGUGCAUGAUAUUGUGAGAGAGAGUUAAAGCACGAAGGGUGAUGCCGUGCACAUUUCUAUUUAUGCAUAUUGUGAGGAAGAGUGUAAAAGCACGAAGGGUGAUGUUGUGCCACAUUAUUGAGAGUAAAAAAUGUCGUGCCACAUUAUUGAGAGUAAAAGCACGAAGGAUAAUACCGUGCAUGAUAUUGUGAGGAAGAUUGCAAAGCACGAAUGGUGAUGUUGUGCACAAUUCUAUUUAUUGUGAGGAAGAGUGAUAAAGCACGAAGGGUGAUGCCAUGCACUUUCUGUUUAUUGUGUUUCUUUGUAGUUAUCAAUUCAAGUAUUUUUAUUAUUUAGAUUUCUUUACUGCAGUGACCCUUGUGAUGGAACCCCAUCCAGUUUUCAAUACUUCGUCAUACUUAUAUACAUAUUUUUCAAUACUUCAAAUUUCAAUAAUUGUUUCAUCUUCAAUUCAUUUAGUUACUCAAUUAAAUUUUCUUAAACUGUCUGACGUUGUAUUUUACUUAAAAAUAAAAUUUCUACCAAGUUAAUUAAUUAAAUUCCUUGAUAAAGGUAAUAUUUUAUUCGAUGUUGUACUUUAAUUGAAAAUAGUACUUUCUUUAUUUAAAUAAUUUCUAAAAAUAACUUCAUCUUUUCUUGCUGAGUUCCGAAUUGGUUUAGAAGCUGUACUCCACUUAUGUUAAGUAAAUCAGACUCCUUGAACAUCUUAAUUGCAUUGGUUAUGGACCUUAUGAAAUGAGUAACAUGAGAACGUUGUUGUGUAAAGUGAUAUAGAAAUAUGUGGGCACAAGGUGCCGGGUGUGUUAAAAGUUUGGUAAUUGAGGUUAUGAUAUGAGACAUCGAGUUUGAGAUGGCUGGAAAUUGUGCAUCAGAAAUGAUAUGAUUUAUUGAGAUGACAUCGCCUUUCUUGUUUGAGUACAUUUUUACUUGUCUGUGUUCCAGCCAUGUUGGUGUUAAUUUAUUUGGUUAUCUUUGUUUCCACCCGUGUUUCUCUUUAUUGUUUCUACUGAUUGUAGUUUGUUCAUUCCUUGCUGUUGAUAUUACUAUGUCAUUUCUAGGGUGAUAGUUUAUUAUCAAAUCCUGUUUAAUUUAUUUGACCAGUAGGUGUCUGGACUGUUCCUCACCACUACCCCACCGAAGUUAGUCUUGAUACUUAUUGUCACCGCCAUGGUGUGCUCAUACUACACUUCUGUACAUUUUUAUGUACAGAUCCAGGUAUUUGAUCGGUACUAGUUGUGCAGGUCGUUGCGAUGAAGACUCAAGGUAAACCUGUUACCGUGUUCGCAGGGCUCGAAGUCACCUUCAUUUGUACUUAUUUCCAUUUGUUCCUUUUGUUUUGGAGCAAUGGUGUAUUUAUUUUGUAUAACUACUCAUAUAAAGGCUUGUGACUUGUACCACUGGUUUUGAGAAUUGUAAUUUGUUAAGAGUUAUUUAAAUUAAAGUUAGCAAAAAUAGAUGUUAUCUCAGUUAAUGUUAGGCUCACCUAGUUUAGAGACUAGGUGCCAUCACGACUCAUUUGGAGAGAUUUUUGGGUCGUGACAAGUUGGUAUCAAAGCUCUAGGUUCAUAGGUGCUACGAGUCACAAGCAAGUUUAGUAGAAUCUUGCGGAUCGGUACGGAGACGUUUGUACUUAUCUUCGAGAGGCUACAAAAAUGUUAGAAAAUACCACUUCUUUCAUUCCUUAUCGUGCAAUAUUGAUUCAGCUCGAAGUAUAUAACUUAUGUUCCUCUACAUCCACUCAUGUACGAUAUUACGCUCUCAGUGUUCGCUAUGCGGCAGUGGUUCGUGAUGCUACAAACGUUCUUCGAAGGAGUCAGGGAUGCUCAGGCCUUACCUCGACGUGUUGUCCAGACUGAAGAUACAGAGGUAUUGAGAGACUAUUUAGUUGUUUACAUGGAGGCGAAGCGGAAGCGUGGUGGGUGUUGAUUGAGGAUAGUUGGCAGUAUUGGAGUACCUUGUGAUUUUUGUUAUAUGAGCUGUGAAGGUUAGCUCUGCGGAUCAUCAGACGUCGUUUUCGAUGGCUUCGUGCCAAGUGGAGGAGUCCAUCAGCAACAUUCAAGUUGUAGAGUCAGAUUUAUAUCAAGUUUAGCCUGAGAAAUGUGUAUGUAUGGUAUUGGUAGGUUCUCGGAUUUAGGGUAUGACCAGGGUCUGAUAUCUUGCACGAGAUGAUGUUGGGGCUUACAGUAUUUCUACGUCAAUAAUGGAUCUACAUUUUAGCAUCAAGGGGAGUCGGAGGACAACUUCAGAUUCAUAGGAGGUCUAUCCAGCGUGGGUAUCGUGGUUGCAGCAGAACAGGGUACUUCAGAGGAAAUGCUUAUGAGCUUCUAGCUACGUGGUUCGUGUUAGGAUCAUCUGUAUUUGGGACUUUGAUUGGAAUUAUUGCAUAUCGACUAUUCGAAGAAAUGGGUCACCUUAGUAGGGUUGGGUUAGCAUAGUAAUGGAAGUAAUUGGUCCUUUUGAAUGGGAUUGCUCUACUAGCAUUUGUGGCAGUACUCUGGUAUUGGAAGGUUUGUGUGACUCGGUUGAUUUGGGGAGAUACGGUCCUAAUGGGUUAUUUAUGUGCGGGUGGAUCUCGGGGAGUUCUUGAUGGUUUGGGCAAUGACUUGAUUCUGCUGGCUUCUAUGGGCAUAGGGAAUAUGUGGUACAUUCUAGCUUUCCCCUGAAUAGGUAUCAGAAAUUAAUAGAGAGUUGACCUUGUUGGCUAUCAUAUGUGAAGAAUGUGCAUUUUUGGAAAGGACCUUGAGUUUUGGUUUGCGGGUGCGUGGCUAGUAGUAUGAUGAUUACUGAGUUUUAAGGCUUUCAAGGUUCAUGUUUGGUUGCUCGACCAGAAAUCCUAUAUGGAUGCUUCAGUAGAAUGAUAGGAUGUAAGUGAGAUAUCAGCCAUUUGAUUUACGUAGUUGAGUCGGGUAUGGAAAUUUUGGUAUUCCUAUGGUUUUCCAGAUGCCCUCAUAUAUGGACUAUUUCCUGUUUGCAGAUUUUGAAGAAAUAUUGAGAAUGAGAUGAUUAAUAGCAUGUAUUAUUGAUGAGUCGUUAUGGAUCCUUUUGAAGAAAAUUUAUCUAAUUGGGAAGGACCAAGAUUUGGUUGAGGCAAUGUGAAAGCUCAAUGAGAACAUGUAUCUUGUAUCAAGUUAAGUUUGUAUGCUCAUGUGAGACUGCCAUUUUGGUUAUGUUAUCAGGCAGAAUGUAUAUUAUUUAUGCCUCUGGCCAAUGUUAUGUGCUGCUCUCUUAUGUUGUGAUGAGCUGUGAGGCGGUAUGAUUAUUCUCCACGCAUGUUGUAAUUCUGUUCAGACCUUAUGGCGAUGUGAGUGAUAUAGCCCUCGUGAUGUUAAUUGCUCAUUGCACCUCAGUUGUACUUGUUUCUUUUAUGUCUUAUUACUUCUAUUCAUUUUUUCCCCCAAUUUUAUUUGUGCACUUUGUUGUACUUGAUAUCAGUAUUCAUAUGAUUAGUGAGCCCGAGCAUUUUGGCUCGAUGAGUAUUUGGGAGCGGGCUGCACGCCGCAGCGGAUGUUAUGUGGGAUACCCUUUCCUUGUGUUUAUGUGGUGUCAUGUUUUUCCUCUGUGGGACCAACUGAAUUAUUUUUUAUACUUUUGUUGUUACAUAUACUGUACUUGUUAGAUAAUUCUUAUACUUUGCUUUCCUUUAUUUGUGCUACAUAAUUGAGUCAUUGCUGGGUUGGUGUACAAACGGUGUAGUUUGAGAAUCCAUGUAGUUCCUGUGAUGACCCGACCCAUCGUCUCAUGAAUUACUGCUCCGUUUUCCCCAUUUCUGCUUCUUUAUGCUUCGUUAUCCGUGUCUUAUGUGGUUGAGUUGGUUGGUUUGCGUUUGGAGUGGAAUGGAUGAGAAAUGAGACACUUAGUCUCUUUUAAGAAGACUUAAUUUGGAAAAGUCAACAUGAGUUAGAGGGCUCGGAUGUGAGUUCCGAUAGUUCGGUUAGCUUUGGGAGGUGAUUUAUGACUUUGGAGUGUGAUCGGAAUUGGUUUUGGAGGUUCGGUGUAGAAUUAGGCUUGAAUUAGCGAAGUUAGUAUUUUGGCGAUUUUCGGUUGAUAGGUGAGAUUUUGAUCUGAGGGUCAGAAUGGAAUUCCGAUAGUUGCUGUAGCUUCGUUAUGUUAUUUGGGAUGUGUGUGCAAAAUUUUAGGUCAUUCGGACGUGGUUUGGUUGGGUUUUUGAUCGAAAACGUAUUUCAGAAGUUUUAAGAAAACUUAAGCUCCAAUUCGAUGUGAAUUGAUGGAUUUGGUGUUGUUUGAGGUGUUUUGAUGAUUGGAACAAGUUUGAAUGAGGUUUUAGGAUGUGUUAGUGCUUUCGGUUGAGGUCCCGGGGGCCUCAUGUGAGUUUCGGAUGGCCAAUUGGACCAUUUUUUGGCUUUUGGGAGUUGCAGAAAUUGUUGUUCAGAUGUUGCAGGUUUUAAGCCUUCGCGAUCGUGUAGGGUCCAUCGUGAUCGCGUAGAAGGGAUGUGGGAGGCCAGGAUUUAGACCUACACGUUCGCAUAAGGUGUCUCGCGUUCACGGAAGGUGAGGGGUCUGUGCUUCGCGUUCGCAUGGGAAGGUCCGUGUUCGCGUAUAAGGAAUCAGGUCCUAGGGCAGUUGCUCUUCUCGUUCGUGAACGUAGGGUCGCAUUCGCAUAGCUCUGGGAAGUCAAAGCAUCACGUUCGGGGGUAUGGUGCUGCAUUCGCGAAGGGUUAUUUGUGGGUCAAGGAAAAUUGUGCAUCGCGAACACAUGGGUUUGACCGCGUUCGCGAAAGAGGAAUUCCAGAAUUGAAUAGUGAAGUUUUUAAACAUUUCAUCCGUGAGUCUUAGCCAUUUUUCCACCAUAGCUGAGUAUUUUGGGAGCUCUUUGGGAGAAAUUGAAGAGGUAUUCAAGGAGGAUUGAUUGAAGGUAUGUUUUAUGAACCAAAAACGUGAUUAUAUUGUGAAAUUAACCUAGAAAUUCUUGAAAAUUUAGCAAAAAAUGGAAAAAGUAGGGCUUGGGAUUUUGAGAUUUUAAAUUGGGAUUUGAAAGGCCAUUUGAGGUCAGAUUUGAGAACUCUUGACAUGUAUGGACUCGUGGAAGGAUAAGGAACCGUUGAUAUGACAAUUUCUGAAUUUCAAGAAGUGGGCUCGGGGCUCGAGUUUUGGUUAUUUCGGGAUUUUGAUAUUUUUCAAUUUUUUUCGCUUGGGCUUUGUUCCCUUAGCAUAUUGUGACGUAUUUGUUCUGGUUUUGGUCAGAUUCGACGCUCGAGGAGGCCGAUUUGAGAGGCAAAGGCAUAGCGAGCUAGAGCAUUAGCCGGUUCGAGGUGAGUAAUGAAUGUAAAUAAUGUCCUGAGGGUUUGAAACCCCGGAUUUGCAUAUCGUAGUGCUAUAUUGAGGUGAGACACGUGCUUGAUGAUGAGCGUGGGGUCGUUUACUAUUGGGGAUUGUGACUUGGUCCAUCCUGAGUGAUGCUUGUACCACAUAUUUGAUUAAAGCUUAUUUGUUAUCCUCAUUAUUUGGAUUGAUUGUUAUAUUUGGGCUUCGUGCCAACUAUUUGAACCCUCCAAGGAGUUUAUCACUAUUUAGACUUACUACUUGAACUCAGUCGUACCGUUUUCCACUAUUUUACAACUCAACCACUUUUACUCGGUUUUGAAACUAAAAUGAUAUAUUAAUUAAUGUUUUGGGCUGAGAACUACUGUUUUACUAAACGCCCGAGAGGCUUAUAUGAUUUCUAGACUGAGUAUGGCCAAGGGCCAGAUGUGAGGAUACUAUGGGAUCGGGCUGCGCGCCGCAACAGUAUUAUAUUGAUAUUGAUAUGAGGCCGAGGGCCUAGUUGAUGCCACGAGAUGGCUUGAUAUUGUGCUUGAGCCGUAAGGGGCCCCUCCCGGAGUCUGCACACCCCCAGUGAGCGCCGUCGACGAUAAAUAAAUGGAUCGGGCUGCACGCCGCAGCGGGUACUAUAGGGUACCGUGCUAUGUGUUGAUUUUCUUUAUAUGUCUUUCAUUUAACUGCUCAUUUGUUGUAGCAUUACCACAUUUUGCUUCCAUUGGUUUAUUGCUUUCAUAUUACUUGUUUUAAACUGCCGCAUUAUAGAAUACUCUGUGUUCUCCGUGAUUUCUUAUUAUCAAUCAUUAUUUAUGCUUAUUACUCACUGGGUCGGAGUACUCACAUUACUCUCUGCACCUUGCGUGCAGAUCCAGGUGCACCUGAGGCUGAGUGAGGAUUUUCAGUUGAGCAACGCAUAUCCGGGAUCAUCAAGGUAGCUGCAUGGCGUCCGUAACCCUGAUCUCUCCUUUCUAUCCUUUUGUUUUAUCCGCAUUUCCUAGAUUGAUAUGUAUUAGGUUGAUAAACUGGUAUUAGAGGCUCAAACUUGUGACACCGGAUCUAUAUGGGCUAUGUAGUAGUAGUAUUAUCAUUUGAAAUUCCGCAUAUUUAACUCUAGUUUCAGACUUUUAAUAUGGUGUUUUGGUAAUUCAACUGUGUUAGCUAAUAAUGAACUAUAUAAAAAACAGGUCGAGGUUGUUAAUUGGUCAGGCUUGCCUAGCAGUGUGUAGGGCGCUAUCACGAUCGGGGUUGGGGUCGUGACAAGUUGGUAUCAGAGCCUAGGUUACAUAAGUCUCGCAAGUCAUGAACCGGUUUAGUAGAGUCUUAUGGAUCGAUAUGGAGACGUUUGUAUUUAUCCUCGAGAGGCUGCAGAACUUUUAGGAAAAACUUCAUAUUCUUGAAAUUCUGUCGUACGACUUUGUUGAUACGAGAACUAAACUUUUGUUAUUCUAUUCUCUCAUAGAUGGUGAGGAUGCGAGCUACCGUAUGAGGUGGACGACCACCAGUGCCACCCACUGAGGCCACCAGAAGCCGUGGACACGGUCGUGGACGUGGCAGAGGCAGAGCAGCGAGGGCAGCACCUGUUGAUCCACCAGCUGCCCCAGCUCCAGAUCAGGCUCCAGCAACACCAGUUCAUGCACCAGCUGUGCCCAUCGUGAUUCCGGGUCUUCAGGAGGCCUUGGCACAUAUCUUAUCAAUUUACACUAGCCUAGCUCAGGCAGUUUCAGCCACUACCGCAGUAGCUACUUCACAAGUCGGGGGAGGCAAUCAAAUCCCCGCUGCUCGUACACCUGAGCAGGUAGUGCAGGGACUACAGACGUCGGGGGCACCUCCAGCUCAGUUGGUUGCGCCAGUUCAGGAGUUUGUAGUACUAGCCAUGCCGGAUGAUGAACAACGUCGUCUUGAGAGGUUUGGUAGGCUCCAACCUCCGUCGUUCAGUGGUGCUGAGGGCGAGGAUGCCCAGGGCUUUCUUGCAAGUUCCAGUAGAUGCUCCGUACAGCAGGGAUUCUUGAGUCUAGUGGUGUAGCAUUUACCACCUAUCAGUUCUCGGGAGCUGCCUUUACUUGAUGGGAGGAUUUUGAGAGGCGUAGGCCUGUUGGUGUAGCACCCCUUUCUUGGCAGCAGUUCUCCACUCUCUUCUUAGAGAAGUAUGUACCGCGGUCUCACAGAGAAGAGCUGCGUAGGCAGUUUGAGUGGUUGACGCAGGGGGGUAUGACCGUGACCCAGUAUGAGAUGAGGUUUUCUGAGUGGCUCGUCAUGCCAUUUGGAUGAUUCCGACAGAUCGUGAAAGGAUUAGGAGAUUUGUGGAUAGCCUUAACUACUAUCUCUGUAUUCUGAUGACUAGAGAGAGAGAGAGAG